AAGUAAUGUGAAUUGCAGAAUUCAGUGAAUCAUCGAAUCUUUGAACGCACAUUGCGCCCUCUGGUAUUCCGGAGGGCAUGCCUGUUCGAGCGUCAUU
rnacentral:rRNA from 11 species